AUUACAGAGAAUAGAUGGGACACCUCUUAACCCCCACCACAAUUGAUGUUUUUAGUGAGGAUCGCAACCGCUUGGUGGCGCUACAUUCGCAGUUAGUUUAUUGUUCAGCCGCUAGGCCCGCUAGGUGCGAUUCAAGCAUGGCUUCAGUAACAAUAAAGUUCAGAAGUUGAGAGGUUAAGUUCGUUCUUUUCUGUUAAAAAAUGUUGUAUUAUUAGUGGACGUUGAAGGUAUUAGUGAUUUGUAAGCUAAUUUAUACCUUUUAAAAAUGAUAAAAAUGAGCAAUUGUUGUGUACCUGGAUGUAUGGACCGAGUAAGCCAGACAUCGUUUCCCCAAAGCCAAUCCAAGUAUUUUUAAAACUUGGUUAGAAGUUAUUAAUCCACAAAAUUGGCAAGAAUUAUCCGAUGAACAGAUUUACAAUAGAUAUUACGUGUGUCAUCCACAUUUUACCAAGCUGGACAUACAAGAACCACAAUCUGACUUGAUGAUGUAUAAGAAAAAAAUUCAAAAAGGGGUUAGAAAGUCAAUUUUGACGAGGUUGCAGUACACUAGGAUUUCACAACUAACUGCGAAAGAAAAAAUAAUGUACUCAAUGUUGAAAGAGUGCAAUGCUAGGAUGAGUCAGCUUAAAUACCAAAAUAAAUGUCUGAGGUAACGAUUAGCUUAUGCAAAUAAAAUUAUUUCAUCUCGUGGAUUUCAAACCCUUUCUUAGCAUAUCUCUGGAGCAACUUAUAAUUUCAUCUUAUGUCAAUUGAGGAAUCAGACAGUCAAGGUAAACAUAAAAAGAUAAUUAUUAUUCAUUUAUAUUGAUGGUUUCACUUUGUGGGAAAACAAUAUUUGUUUAUUCAUAUACCUGCAAUGUACAAUGUAUACCGAUUGUAUAUUUUUCUUAUAAAUAUUAUUCUGAAUUCGUUGAAAGUACGUAAGUAGAUGU